GCUGUAGCUCAGCGAGAGAGCAUCUGCUUUGCAUGCAGAAGGUCCCAGAGUCAAUCUCUGGCAUCUCCA